AUAACAUCCGGAAACGGGUGCUAUACCGCAUAGUUUUCUUGAUCGCAUGAUCGGGAAGGAAAGACGGCCUUUGUGCUGUCGCUUAUGGAUGGACCCGCGGCGUAUUAGUUAGUUGGUGAGGUAACGGCUCACCAAGACGAUGAUACGUAGCCGACCUGAGAGGGUGAUCGGCCACAUUGGGACUGAGACACGGCCCAAACUCCUACGGGAGGCAGCAGUAGGGAAUCUUCCGCAAUGGACGAAAGUCUGACGGAGCAACGCCGCGUGAGUGAAGAAGGUUUUCGGAAUCGUAAAACUCUGUUGUCAGAGAAGAACAAGUUGGAGAGUAACUGCUCCAGCCUUGACGGUAUCUGACCAGAAAGCCACGGCUAACUACGUGCCAGCAGCUGC
rnacentral:rRNA from 1 species